CAAGUGCAGUAAAUUUCGAUUCUCCGGUGACGGAAGAAUCUUCUGGCAGUGCCAGUUGCUUCCUCACUAUGCCACAAACUUUUUCCAAGGUCUCAGGUUUAGCCUGGAAACUCGAAAGCGGAUUAUCAUAUCCGGACUGCAUUCCAAGAGAUGGGAACCUAACUGAGUUGACAUUACAGAUCCCACGAACCUGCAGAGAAAAAUAGAAUUGAUUAAACUCGAUGGAAACCUCUA